rnacentral:rRNA from 1 species
AGCAGCCGCGGUAAUUCCAGCUCCAAUAGCGUAUAUUAAAGUUGUUGCAGUUAAAAAGCUCGUAGUUGAAUUUCGGGGUUAGUAGGUUGGUCAUGCCUCUGGUAUGUACUGGUCUCACUGAUUCCUCCUUCCUGAUGAACCGUAAUGCCAUUAAUUUGGUGUUGCGGGGAAUUUGGACUGUUACUUUGAAAAAAUUAGAGUGUUUAAAGCAGGCUCACGCUUGAAUACAUUAGCAUGGAAUAAUGAAAUAGGACGUUUGAUUCUAUUUUGUUGGUUUCUAGGAUCGACGUAAUGAUUAAUAGGAUAGUUGGGGCAUUAGUAUUCAAUUGUCAGAGGUGAAAUU